CAAUAGCGUAUAUUAAAGUUGUUGCAGUUAAAAAGCUCGUAGUUGAAUUUCUGGGGGGCCCGUUGGGACCGCUUGAUUGCGCGUCCUUGACGUACUUCCCAUUCUUGUCCGGACGGCGUCGGCCUUCACUGGUUCGGCGUUCUGACGGGCGACAUUUACUGUGAAAAAAUUAGAGUGUUCAAAGCAGGCAUCCGCCCUGAAUACAUUAGCAUGGAAUAAUAAGAUAGGUUCGGUACCGAUUUUGUUUGGCCAAAGUAUCCGAAAAUGAUUAAUAGGGGCGAUUGGGGUUCUUUAUAUUCAGUUGUCAGAGGUGAAAUUCUUGGAUUUACUGAAGAUAAACUACUGCGAAAGCAUUGAACAAGGGCGCGCUCUUUAA
rnacentral:rRNA from 1 species